rnacentral:rRNA from 1 species
UGGGGAAUUUUGGACAAUGGGGGCAACCCUGAUCCAGCCAUGCCGCGUGUGCGAAGAAGGCCUUCGGGUUGUAAAGCACUUUUGGCAGGAAAGAAACGGCGCCGGCUAAUAUCUGGCGUAACUGACGGUACCUGCAGAAUAAGCACCGGCUAACUACGUGCCAGCAGCCGCGGUAAUACGUAGGGUACAAGCGUUAAUCGGAAUUACUGGGCGUAAAGCGUGCGCAGGCGGUUCGGAAAGAAAGAUGUGAAAUCCCAGGGCUCAACCUUGGAACUGCAUUUUUAACUCCCGAACUAGAGUGUGUCAGAGGGGGGUGGAAUUCCACGUGUAGCAGUGAAAUGCGUGAGUAUGAGUUGGAUGGAACGAACCAGCGAUGGCGAAGGCAGCCUCCUGGGAUAACACUGACGCUCAUGCACGAAAGCGUGGGGAGCAAACAGAUUAGAUACCCUGGUAGUCCACGCCCUAAACGAUGUCAACUAGCUGUUGGGGUCUUCGGACCUUGGUAGCGCAGCUAACGCGUGAAGUUGACCGCCUGGGGAGUACGGUCGCAAGAUUAAAAGCUCAAAGGAAUUGACGGGGUCAU